rnacentral:lncRNA from 8 species
UCUUGUUUUUGUACAGCUCAGUGAAAGCCUGCAGAACGUGACGUUCGUUUUCCUUUGUUUGUUAUUUUUGUUUAGUGUUCUGAGUAUAAAUACAAUUUUAUCAUGAGCACUUACCACGCUGCACCUUGGUCUUCUCCUUAAAACGAUCAUUACAGAAGAUCCCACCACAAAAGGACCAAGCAGCGUGGUCAGGAGACAUGGACCUGGGAAGACAUCCUGGACGGCAAGGGAUCCUGGACGUGGGAGGAGAUCCAGGCUGGAUGGGAUCGUCUCCCAUGGGAACAGGUGGAGGCAGCGAGAGCAGAGCGGCGACGAGAUGAGGAACUAGCAUGGCAACGAGGCAAGCACGAGAGGCAGCCCCCAAUUUUGUUUUGGGGGGCCACACGGGGAGAUUGGCUAAGUCAGGGUUCAGACCUGAGCCAACUCCCUGUGCUUACCGUAGGGAGCAUGUGACCAGUCAGGCACCGAGUUAUGCUGUGAUGCGCACUAUAUCGCCAGUGCGCAUUCAUAGCCCGGUGCGAUCUGUGCCUGCGCCCCGCAUUUGCCGUGCUAGAGUGAGCAUUCAGCCAGGAUGGAUUGUGCCGGCUCAGCGCUCCUGGUCUCCAGUGCGCCUCCUCGGUCCAGGAUAUCCUGCGCCAGCUUUACGCACUGUGUCGCCAGUAUGCCUUCACAGCCCAGUUCGUCCUGUGCCAGCUCCCCACACUUGCCGGGCUAAACUGAGCAUCCAGCCAGGACGGGUUGUGCUAGCCAUAUACUCCAGAUCUCCAGUGCGCCUCCACGGCCCAGUAUAUCCUGCGCCAGUUCUACGCACUGUGUCGCCAGCGCGCCUUCACAGCCCAGUUCAUCCUGUGCCAGCGCCCCGCACUUGCCGGGCUAAAGUAAGCAUCCAGCCAGGACGGGUUGUGCCAACCCUAAGCUCCAGACCUACAGUGCGCCUCCACGGCCCAGUAUACCCUGUACCUGCUCUGCGCACCCGGUCUCCAGUGUGUCUCCCCAGUCCGGUGAGACCGGUUCCAGCUCCAUGUAAGAAGCCUCCAGUGAUGAUCCAUGGUCUGAAGCCUCCAGUGAUGAUCCAUGGCACGAAGCCUCCAGUGAUGAUCCAUGGCCCGGAGCCUGUAGUGAUCAUCCAUGGCACGAAGCCUCCAGUGAUAAUCCAUGGUCCAGAGCCUCUAGUGAUCAUCCAUGGCCCGGAGCCUGUAGGGAUGAUCCAUGGCAUGAAGCCUCCAGUGAUGAUACAUGGCCCAGAGCCUGUAGGGAUGAUCCAUGGCACGAAGCCUCCAGUGAUGAUCCAUGGCCCGGAGCCUGUAGUGAUAAUCCAUGACCUGGAGCCUCCAGUGAUAAUCCAUGGCACAAAGCCUCCAGUGAUGAUCCAUG